UACAGGGGGUGCAAACGUUGCUCGGAAUCAUUGGGCGUAAAGCGCACGUAGGCGGUUUGUUAUGUCGGAUGUGAAAGCCCUUGGCUCAACUGAGGAAGUGCAUCCGAAACUGGCAGCUAGAGUACUAAAGAGGGUCGCGGAAUUCCCGGUGUAGAGGUGAAAUUCGUAGAUAUCGGGAGGAACACCGGUGGCGAAGGCGGCGACCUGGGUAGAUACUGACGCUGAGGUGCGAAAGCGUGGGGAGCAAACAGGG
rnacentral:rRNA from 1 species